UGAUUAGGAACUCCAUCUGUAUGUUACAGUAAAACAUAUAUAUUUGGUUGAUUACCACAAGAUUUUUUUACCGUUGAAUGACAGAACAAUAGUGUGCUGUGUGUAACGUUUUAAGACAUGCCUGAGUUAUUACGGAUGUUUCAGAAUAUACACGUGUAAGUAUAUUGUUGACAAUUCUACAGGUAGAUAUAGAUGCUUGACGCAAUUCAGAUAAAAGUAUAAAAUUCAUUUUGGACCACGUCAACAACAAGAUAAAACUAGACGACGCACCUGUUGUUUGUUUAUUAUAGUUGAUUCCUGUUAGUAAAUAUUUAAUGGAAUAAAGGCAUUUUAUCAAUCAAUUUGAAUCAAUCGUUGCAUAUGGAGAGGAUAAUUGUGUGGUUAUAUAGAUUCUGGAUAAGAAUUUGACAUGAUUAUUACGUAAAAUGGAUUAUGUUAAAUCAGCGCUACAGAUAAUUCUGCUUGGAUUUUUCUUCUUCGUCUUAGCGUGGAUUUGUGUAUACGCAGACAAGUUAUUAUUGGUAUUUCAGAGUUUAUAGUAUAGCCAUUUGGUGGACCAAGACUGUUCUAAAACAAUUUUCUUUAGCAAUGUAAAUAUUACAAUGCACAAAUCAAUAUGCAUAUGGAUAUAUCACUGAAUUGAUCCCGUCCACCAUUUUAGAAUCUUUCUAUCUUUUGGAUACGUAUGCAUAGACAGAUUGAACCUUAACAUUCAAUUUGACUUAUUUUAUUUAUAAAAAUAUCAUAUUUUUAUUUUGAUAUGUAUGAAAUGAAUGCUAACAUGGUUUAUUAAAUGUUUAUGUUUUU